UCUAGAAACAUGUCAAGCAGAGAAUCGUCACCCACCCGUAUACGUGCCCCUUUUUAAGCCUGCACUGACCCUUCCAGAAGUUCCAUGACUUCCAGACCUUAACUGACCCAAAUCUACCCUCUUCUCAAUCUCUCUGAAGUUAAAGGGGAAAAAUGAGUAGCCGAUCGAGUCGUACUAUCUACGUGGGGAAUCUGCCUGGAGAUAUUCGUAUGAGAGAAAUUGAAGAUUUAUUCAUGAAGUAUGGACCGAUUGUUGACAUUGAUCUUAAGAUCCCUCCCAGACCACCGGGUUAUGCUUUUAUUGAGUUUGAAGAUCCACGUGAUGCUGAUGAUGCGAUUUAUGGCCGGGAUGGUUGCAACUUUGACGGGUAUCGCUUACGGGUUGAACUAGCACAUGGUAGACGUGGAUAUUCAUCAUCAGCAGAUCGAUUCAGCAGUUACAGUCGUAGUAGCAGUAGCCGUGGAGCUUCCCGCCAUUCUGACUAUCGUGUGCUGGUCACUGGAUUACCUGCUUCUGCUUCAUGGCAGGAUCUGAAGGAUCACAUGCGUCAAGCUGGAGAUGUUUGUUUUUCGCAAGUGUUCCGUGACCGCCGUGUUCUUGUGAUUAAUACUAUUGUAGGCAUGACAGGAGUUGUAGACUACACAAAUUACGAUGACAUGAAAUAUGCGAUCAGGAAAUUGGAUGAUUCUGAAUUUAGAAAUGCUUUUUCUCGGUCCUACAUACGGGUCGAGGAAUAUGAUUCUAGUCGUGGGUAUUCCAGAAGCCCCAGUUAUGACUCAAGGCAGAGCUACUCUAGAAGUCCCAGUCGUAGUCCAUAUGUGUCGAGAAGUCGCAGUCGCAGCCGUAGCUUUGGGGGCCAGAGCAGAAGCAUAUCACCGGAUGUGGAAUAUUCCCGCCGCUCUCCUAGGUCUGCCUCACCUUUCCCUUCAAGAUUGGCUCCUGUGGAGGUGUCCUAGGACUGGAUCUUAGGAACUUGACGGGAAGUGGUGUUGAUGCCUGCAACUCCUUAGGUUCAGGUAACACCAAUUUGUUAAUGAGCACCUAUGAAAAAAAAAGGACAAUAUUUCUAUUGAGUAUCAGUUCUAACAAUCGUUACUGUGAGUUGGUGCUAUAUAGCUAUGAAUAAAAAGUCGGUGGUGCAGAUUUUGUUAAUUUGCAAUUAGGAUUGUGGGUCGAUGAUCUCUCUCUGGUUUAUGAUUGGAUGUUGUAUUAUGCUGGUGUUUUUAUUUCUUACUGUUUUAGUUGGUUCAACUUAUAAGACUGCUGGAAAGAUCAUGAGAUGCUGGCUUUAAAAACUUUGAGGCUAAAGGUCUAUGAUUUUACUGUUUCAUUCCCCUCCAUUUAUGGUUAGUCAUUUCAGGACCUUGGGUCAGAGGGUAUACUGUUAUUGAGAUUGAUUUGGAUUUUCACAUUAUUGCAGAUCUCUGUCAAGAUCUAGAUCUCCAGUUCGUUCUCCUUAUUAUGGAACUCUCUGCAGGUCACCAUCAAGAUCCAGAAGCUUAUCCCGUUAGCUUGGUGACAUGCAUAUGUGCCAAGUGCCUUCUCAGUCCUUUUGGUGAACUGGACACC